rnacentral:lncRNA from 1 species
GUUUGUUUUUGUAUAUAUGUUGUGUUAUCUUGUCUCUUAGAGUUGUGUUCUGAAAAGAGAGAAAAGAAAAUAGACAAGAUGAAAAAAAAAAGAAAACAAAUACAGAAAAAUGAAAAAAAAAAUUAUGAAUAAAGGAGUCAGGAAGAGGAUGGAAUUAGAGGUUUUGGGUGUGAGUAUACUGUGUUUACACUUGUUCUCCAUUGCUCCUCUAUUUCCUUUUGUUUGUAGCUUUUCAUCCAUAUAUAUCCUCUCUUUUCCUUGACC